rnacentral:rRNA from 1 species
GUAUCCUGACCGUGCUAAGGUAGCGUAAUCACUUGCCUCUUAAUUGGUGGCCUGUAUGAAUGGACAAACGAGAGCUAAACUGUCUCUUACUUACUACCAUAAACUAACCUCCAGGCGAAAAGGCCUGAAUAACCUUAUAGGACAAGAAGACCCUGUCAAGCUUUACUAAAAUAAUAUAUCUAUAAAUAUUUAUAUAACUAAAAUACAUUAAAAUUAGUUUAGUUGGGGCGACUGGGGACCAAAACUAACGUCCCCCCAUAACCAAGGAAUAUAACCCAAUCAAACUGACCCGUUAAAACGAUCAAGAGAAAAGCUACUGCAGGGAUAACAGGCUAAUCUUCCUCAAGAGCCCUAAUCGAAAGGAAGGCUUGGCACCUCGAUGUUGGCUUAGGAA